CCUACGGGAGGCUUCAGUGGGGAAUCUUCCGCAAUGGACGAAAGUCUGACGGAGCAACGCCGCGUGAGUGAUGACGGCCUUCGGGUUGUAAAGCUCUGUUAAUCGGGACGAAAGGCCUUCUUGCGAAUAGUGAGAAGGAUUGACGGUACCGGAAUAGAAAGCCACGGCUAACUACGUGCCAGCAGCCGCGGUAAUACGUAGGUGGCAAGCGUUGUCCGGAAUUAUUGGGCGUAAAGCGCGCGCAGGCGGAUUGGUCAGUCUGUCUUAAAAGUUCGGGGCUUAACCCCGUGAUGGGAUGGAAACUGCCAAUCUAGAGUAUCGGAGAGGAAAGUGGAAUUCCUAGUGUAGCGGUGAAAUGCGUAGAUAUUAGGAAGAACACCAGUGGCGAAGGCGACUUUCUGGACGAAAACUGACGCUGAGGCGCAAAAGCCAGGGGAGCGAACGGGAUUAGAUACCCGAGUAGUC
rnacentral:rRNA from 1 species